UGCUAAUGCUCUGGCCGCCAUUUUCGUGUUUACAAAGUGCUCAAUAAUUUGACGUAAUUGUCAGAAUUGUCACCCAACGUUUAUCGGUGGUUGCGAACUUGGUCCAAACACGCAACUAUUUGACGUAUUUAACGACGAGCCUGCUUGAUAUGACAGGAGAAUUAUAUUAAAUUAUAAUCAUACGCAGCACACGAACGACAAAGUGCAAUAAACAAGUUGCAAGAGACAAUACUGAAGAGCUAUAAAUCUCGCAAUAAAUAUAUAUUUCUGCAUAUUUAUUAUCUUCUGCAAGAAAGAUGUGGUUCUAUUUCGUAUUCAUUCUUUUCGGCAUUCUCGAUGUCGCGAUGGCUUCCAAUAAUACAUUCGAUUUCGGUGACACUCUAGCACUAAUUAUAGGAUUAACCAUCGCAAUUGUCGGAUUCUUCGCCUGCAUGGGUGCUUAUGCAAGGAGGCGAAGUCAUUUCGAGUCCUUGUGAUGCUUUGCAAUGUUUUUGAACAUAUCCAAUAUAUGAACGAAAUCUGGAUAUUACAGUAUAAAGGUCCUAUCAAGGAAGAUGGUAAUUAAAAAGAGCAAUUCGAGAUUUUCUGUAAUAUAUACAAGAGACAACUUUUAAAAUUUUGAUGAUAUUCACGAAACAUAUUAUAAUGAUGCAUUAAGUUUGUACAUAAUAUAUCUAAUAUAUAUAUCUAUAACAUAUCUAUAUUGUAAUAAAGAAUAUGAAUAAAUAGAAUUUUUAUUAUUUUAAUACUAAUAUUAAUUUAAUGAUAUUGCAGUUGGAAAAGACAAACGAUAUAUUGUAUCUGUAUUGUACGUUUAUUUAUUUCUGUCUGUUAAGCUUUAUUGUAAUAAUUUUUACAUUUAACGUCUUUUGAUAAAGUUAGUAAAGUUUCAGCCUGUUUUACAAUAUUGUAUGAGGUACAGAGAGUACAUUAUUAAAAUUGGUUUUAUUGUA